rnacentral:rRNA from 1 species
GUGGCGGACGGGUGAGUAACGCGUAGGUAUCUAUCCUUGGGUGGGGGACAACUGUGGGAAACUACAGCUAAUACCGCAUGAUAACUGAGGUUUAAAGGCGCAAGUCGCCUGAGGAGGAGCCUGCGUACGAUUAGCUAGUUGGCGGGGUAAAGGCCCACCAAGGCGACGAUCGUUAGCUGGUCUGAGAGGAUGAUCAGCCACAUUGGGACUGAGACACGGCCCAAACUCCUACGGGAGGCAGCAGUGGGGAAUAUUGGACAAUGGGCGAAAGCCUGAUCCAGCGAUGCCGCGUGUGUGAAGAAGGUCUUCGGAUUGUAAAGCACUUUCGACAGGGACGAUGAUGACGGUACCUGUAGAAGAAGCCCCGGCUAACUUCGUGCCAGCAGCCGCGGUAAUACGAAGGGGGCUAGCGUUGCUCGGAAUGACUGGGCGUAAAGGGCGCGUAGGCGGAUGGCACAGUCAGAUGUGAAAUUCCCGGGCUUAACCUGGGGAC